rfam:Tinamus guttatus contig125177, whole genome shotgun sequence.
CUCGCUGCUGUCCUCAUUGUACAUGCUGUGUGUAUUUUUGGUGGCGUACACAGCGCAUGCAAUGUGGACGGGAUGGGG